GGAGGAAGUGGGGAUGACGUCAAGUCCUCAUGGCCUUUAUGUCUAGGGCUACACACGUGCUACAAUGGGUGGUACAAAGAGCAGCUAACUCGCGAGAGUAUGCAAAUCUCAAAAAGCCAUCCUCAGUUCGGAUUGGAGUCUGCAACUCGACUCCAUGAAGUUGGAAUCGCUAGUAAUCGCGGAUCAGCAUGCCGCGGUCGAAUACGUUCCGGGCCUU
rnacentral:rRNA from 1 species